rnacentral:rRNA from 1 species
CCAGACUCCUACGGGAGGCAGCAGUGGGGGAUAUUGCACAAUGGGGGAAACCCUGAUGCAGCGACGCCGCGUGGGUGAAGAAGCGCCUCGGCGCGUAAAGCCCUGUCAGCAGGGAAGAAAAUGACGGUACCUGAAGAAGAAGCCCCGGCUAACUACGUGCCAGCAGCCGCGGUAAUACGUAGGGGGCAAGCGUUAUCCGGAUUUACUGGGUGUAAAGGGAGCGUAGACGGCAGUGCAAGUCCGGAGUGAAAGCCCGGGGCUCAACCCUGGGACUGCUCUGGAAACUGUAGAGCUGGAGUGCGGGAGGGGCAGGCGGAAUUCCUGGUGUAGCGGCGAAAUGCGUAGAUAUCAGGAGGAACAUCAGUGGCGAAGGCGACUAUCUGGCACAUAACUGACGCUGAGGAGCGAAAGCGUGGGUAGCAAACAGGAUUAGAUACCCUCGUA